rnacentral:rRNA from 1 species
AGCGAACGCUGGCGGCAGGCUUAACACAUGCAAGUCGAGCGGGCGUAGCAAUACGUCAGCGGCAGACGGGUGAGUAACGCGUGGGAACGUACCUUUUGGUUCGGAACAACACAGGGAAACUUGUGCUAAUACCGGAUAAGCCCUUACGGGGAAAGAUUUAUCGCCGAAAGAUCGGCCCGCGUCUGAUUAGCUAGUUGGUGAGGUAAUGGCUCACCAAGGCGACGAUCAGUAGCNGGUCUGAGAGGAUGAUCAGCCACAUUGGGACUGAGACACGGCCCAAACUCCUACGGGAGGCAGCAGUGGGGAAUAUUGGACAAUGGGCGCAAGCCUGAUCCAGCCAUGCCGCGUGAGUGAUGAAGGCCUUAGGGUUGUAAAGCUCUUUCGACGGGGGACGAUAAUGACGGUACCCGUACGAAGAAGCCCCGGCUAACUUCGUGCCAGCAGCCGCAGU